AAAAAGAAAAUUCGUUAAUUUUGAAAUAAUUCUAAUGUAAAUAUAUUAAUCUAAAUAAUUAAAUGUAAUAUAGUUAAAAUUAAUAUCAAACAUAUGAUUAAACCAACACAAGGGUAUUUCGGUAAUUUGUUUACUAAACUCAUUUGAAUGGAAAUGAAAAUAAAGAAACAAACAUAAAAUCCAUUUAGAUAAUUCAUCUAGAUGAGUCAUGUGGAUGGACAAACAAACAAUCACAAAAAUGGGAAUGGAUCAUCUGAAUAGAUCAUACAAAUAAAUCAUUUAACUAACACAAGGUUAUUUUGGUAAUUUGUUUACUAAACUUAUUUGAAUGAAAAUGAAAAUAAAGAAACAAACAUAAAAUCCAUUUAGAUAAUUCAUCUAGAUGAGUCAUAUGGAUGGACAAACAAACAAUCACAAAAAUGGGAAUGGAUCAUCUGAAUAGAUCAUACAAAUGAAUCAUUUGGAUGGAUAUGACAAAUGGUAAAACAAACAGCCCCAUAUAUAUACUGGUGUUGCCGUGCUACGCAAGGAAAUUUUUUUUCUUACAAAUAAAAUUUAGUUAUAUAUACAUAUAAUUUACAUGUACGCAAUGUUUUUAAACCCGACCCGGACACUGAACCGGACGAUUUACCGGGUCGUUGGGUCACUGGGUCGACCGCGGGUGAACCGCGGGUUAAUAAAUGAAUUAAUAUAUAAUAAUAUAUUAGCUAUGAAAAUAAAUAUAUAAAAACUAAAGUUUAAUACUUUCUAAAUGUUUUUUAAAACAUAAAAUAAUAGUUUGGAUAUGUAUAUACUUUAUGUUUAAAAAGUAUUUAACAAAAACUUAACUUUAGUUUUUAUAUUUUUAUUUUCAUUUGGCAUGCAAAAUAUCAAAAAAAAUAGUUUAGACUAUUUAAAAUUUUCUGUAACAAAUUAAGAGUUAUGACAUCUAAAAAAAUCAAGAUAUAAAACUCACAAAUAUUUAAACAUCUAAUGUGAAUAAUAAAUUAACUUCAAAUUCAAAAUAAACUAAAAUUAAAAGAUCAUUGUAAUAAAUUGUCAAUAACAGAAAUAAACAAACACCAAAUCACAUCAAUUAAUUUUGAUUCUCUCUAUCAUCGUUCAAUUUAUUUUUUUAGGUGGCAUAGUGAAAAAUCUUCAUCAAAAUCUAAAAUCACAAAUAUAAAAAUGAAAAUGGAAAACCUAACUUCUUUGUUUUUGUCAGCACCUUAGUUUUUAAUUGAAAACUUAGAAUAUAAAACAUAAUCUAAAAACUAAAAAAUGAGUAAAAAUUAUUUAUUGGUUCAACCGAUGGUUCAACCGGUAUCGGGUUCCGGGUUUUAGUGGGUUUUUGCGGGUUUUUACGGGUUUCUAAAUAUUGGGUUUUUCAUAAAACCCAAACCGAAUUUUUUCUGUGUCACCGGGUUUACCGGUUCAACCGCGGGUCCGGGUCGGGUUUCAAAACAUUGCAUGUACGUAAAACUUAGCCAAAAUAAAAUAAAAUUAAACGUACAAAGUAUUAACACAUUUAUGACUGAUUAACCAUUGACAUAAAAAUUAAGUUGUUUAUUUUUUUUAUUUAUAUAAAUUACAUUGUACAAUACAAAUAUUUUUGUAAAGACCUCAAUACAAAUAUUAGUUUCAAGCUUUCUUUUUUCCUUUUUUUUUUCUUGCUAAUUUUUUCUAUUGAAUGCAAGAAUUUACAAAACAUACAACAGUUUGCUAGCCUAUUCUUAGCUUCCAGGGUAAUAACCGAAGCAGAGGAGACGAGCACAAAAGUAAAAGAAGCUCAAAAACCGCUUAGAAUGAGCUAAACCCAACCGCCUCAAGAUGCGCACAUGAACUGAGACAAGAUAGUGCGCUGAAGGUACCCGCUCAUACCACCUGCACUAAGCCAAUCCUUGAGAGGACAGAAGAAGCUACCAACGCACAGAGACCAAGUAACCGAAGACCAAAGACCCGAUCAACCUCUAAAUGGCUCAAACCCCUUUGGUUUAAAUAAGAACAUCAAACCCACAUUACGCAAUAAAGUUUUCUUGAGAAGAGUACCUUGACAGUCAACAUAACAGCUCGAGAGGAGAAUGCACAAGGAUAUAAUGAUGCAACAGAAGUGUAGACCUGAGGAGGAUCAAGAUGUUGGUGGUGAGAGAAGAAGCACAUGCCGCAAUCACUAAUCUGAACCUAUCAGAUCGGCAAGGGAAAGAAGCACAGACACUGACUAGGUCACUAACUAGGACCCAAGGCAGCACAACCGAGAAUCAUCCAAAGCAAGAACCGAGGAGCAACGAUGUCAGAUAAGCCGGAGAGAGACAAGGGAAGCCUUUGACAGAAACAGAACACAUCCACAAGGAUAAGGCGGCAAGGAAAGAGGCACAGACCAUCCCGACGGCAAGGGAAGAGCACAGAUCAGGCUUGCUAUGUGGAGAGACUGACUACAGAAACACUCAUCUCAACCAAACUUUCAGAACCAGGACCAACGCAUAUCUCAAGCUCUACCGGAGAAGAUAGCACCAUUGUAAAUCAGAGCCAAAAACACAGUCGACAUUACGACACAUGAGAGAAGGAAAAAAAAAAGAAAAGAUGGGAAGAGAAGGACAUACGGCGAAGACGCCGAAGCCCAUCUCCUCCCAGGCAGAAUCGAUGACGACGGCUACUAGGGUUUGUAGAUGAGGAAGAGAGACACUAGAGAGAGUUUCUAAACCCUCUCUCUCUCUCCCGUGAUUUUUUCACAAGCUUUCUUGAUUACUUAUUUCUGUCUUGCCCUUCCAGUCUUCUUGUAUUCUCCCUAAUUCGUAACAUGUUUAUGAGCAAAUUAUCUUUAGCUUCUGACGACGUCUAGUAUUUCAUUCAACAUUUAGUUUUAAAUUUAAACAGUUAGACAAAUCCAAUCAAAACACUAAAACAGUAAAGGAAAAUCAGCAUGUAAGCCCUUUUACAAAAAAAAAAAUCAGCAUGCAACACAUAAACAUCAUUCUAUCAAAGUAACACAAAAGUUAAGAAUGAAAAACAAUUGGAGUAGUAAUCAAAAUUACUUUACACGUAAGUUUGAAAAUACAUCGGAUGUGACUAAAACAUCAAACAUCUGUUAAAUACUCUAAUCAAAAUGGCAUUGUGAAAGACAUAGGUUCUUAAUUGACACAUCAGUUAAAUUUUUCCAGAUUUAUCGACACUUAGAUAUUCACAAAGGCAUAUUAUUAAAACAGGAUAUCCAGAGUGCCUGGAUUCAAAUCCAGAUAGUAAAAUGUCGGAUCCGUCAAAUCCGGAUCCACAUAUCUUGAUUUUUAAGUUCAGAUAUCCGGAUCCGGAUUUUUAAAUAUAAUAAAAUUUAAAUUUUAUUAAUAAUAUAUUAAUAUUUUUGCUUAAAAUUAGUUUAUAUUAUUAUAUAUUUAUAAUUUUAUUUAUUUAUAUAUUGUUUUAGAUUUUUUAUUAAUAUUUAAUUUAAAUAUUAUUUUUAAAAUUUUAGUAUUAAAGAAUAUUUUGUUUUCAUUAAAAAAAAUUACGGAUAUGAAUCCUGAUGCGGAUACACUAAUUUUGGAUUUCCGGAUCCAUCCCACCGGAUCCAUCCCACCCUUAGCGGUCAGUCAUUAAAUGGAAAUUCAUCGUUAUACUAAGUAAAAGUUAUAAAAUAUAUUGUUAUACUGACAAGGUAAGUAGGUACACAACUAUAGUUUAUAUAUAUAAAAGAGUUUGCCUACAGUUACUUUUAAAAGGCUUUUUGCCUACAGUUACUACAAACCCAACGCACCGGUCCAUUCUUGAUGCACCACUCCUAGACUACCAUCGACCAUUGAUAGAUUUUGCCACAAGAAAUGUUUUUAGAAUUGUACCAAAAACAAAUAAUGAUAAACUCUAUCAUGAAUCUCUAGUUUUCAAAUGUUUUGCUGACAAAAAAAUUGAUAGCAACUUUACAAUUUUUAGAAUGGCAUCUACACAAAUAUCAAUAUUGACUUGUAUUCCGUAUUCGUAUACACAAAAUGUCAGUGUAGAAUACAAAACAGGAAAUUAAGAUUCUAACGUUGGCUUCUGGAAUUAUUCAGAAAACCCACGCAAAACCAUGCAGUUACAACAAAGAAAGUACAAUAAAACCUACUGGACAAAAGAUCAUGUAUGUUACAUUCUCUAAGCUCCUUAUUCCCUAAAUUCGGGCUCGGUUCAACUUCAAAUUUCCCGCAUGUUUUAUACAUAAUGAAGAAUAUAUAAAUAUAUGGCCACUCCCUAAGAAAGCCCACUGCAAAAAAGAGAGAGAGGAAAAAACAUAUAUACCAUGUAGUAUAUUUAAAUAUGCAUUUUACCAAAAAAAAAAAAAAUUAAAUAUGCAUUUUGGUUUUUGAUUAAUGUGAUUGAGUUAGAGAAGAAGCACUAGCAAAAGACAUAGUGAGAAUAGAGUCAAAUGUCCCCUUGACUUCCCUUAAACAAUUCAUGGUUCAUAAUUAGUUUUUUUAAUAUAGUUUUCACUUUGCACGUGUUUAUAGGAAUCUAAUAAAAAAAUUCCACGUUUUGAUAAGAAUCUAAUAUAAAACUUUCCCGCUAAAAAGAGAAGAAUCGAAAAGCUGCAUGAUAUAUAUGGUGGCUAUUGGACAACAGAUAAGUACGAAUGGCAAGAGUCACAUGUCCGUUGCUCUUCAAUAAUACCUACAAAUAGUACCUUCUCCUCAUGAGAAACAAAAAAGGAUUCCACAACUUUUUAUCUUCUAUUUUUUUUUAUCUUCUAUUUUUUACAUCAAAAAGAUCAUUCCAUUACUCAACACACGAGGUGGUCUAGGAAGCUUGGUUAAAUAUUCAUAUGUUCAAACUCAAAAGCUAAAAUUCACAUUAAAUAACUCUGACACCUACUUUCUUCGUUAUUUAUAAUGUAAUUUCAGUCCGUCUUAGUUAGUAUAUAAUAUAUAUGAAAACAAACUCAAAUUAUAUAAACAUGAAAUGUUGAGUUUUCUUGAAUACAGCUACAUAAGCAACAAAUCAUAAUAUUAUUUAUGAAAUACAUAUAUAGGAUUAUACAUUACAAAGAGGGAAUUCUGCUUUUACCUCAUUUAUUGUACCACUUUUAAUUUAAUGUUUACUUUUAAUAAAGAGACAUUUUUACAAAUACAUAAAGUAUGAAAUUUCAUUCAAGAGGUAAAAGAUCAUUUUAUCUUUACUUUAUAGAUAUAUAAAUAUAAAUAAUUAUUUAUAUAAAUAAUAAAAAUAAAAUAUUUUAUAGUUUUUAAAUUAUACGUAUUUGAAUUCAAACUUUUUGUAAGUUAUUCCUUGUUUGGAUUUUCUUUUUUUUUGAAAACUUCUAUGAAUAUUUUUUUAAACUUAUUUUGAAAUUCAAAAAUUCCUUUUGAAAAAAUAUUUUAAAUUUUACAUAUUUAUUUAUUUAUUUUUUAAAAUCCUAAAUCCUACCCUCUAAAAUCAUCCCUCAAAUCUAAACUAUAAGUUUGAAUUAGUUAACCCUAGCGAUAUAAAUGUUUAUUUCCUCUUCAAAAUUAAACAUAAAUAUGGUUAACAUAAACAUAAAAAAAGGUAUUAAAAAUAUGAUAGUUUAAGCAAUUUCUCCAAUACAAACGUACAAAUAUAAUGCCCAAUUGGGAUCGUAAAUAGUAAUUAAUAUUGGGGGCUAGUCUUGUGCUGACAAAAUUGAUACAAAUUGGACUGAUUAAGAUAAGGUCCGUAAGGUACUAAGGUAGUAGUAAAUUAAUUAACUAAAACCUAAGGAAGAAAAUAAAAGAGUUAUUAUUGAGUUCACCUCCUAGGGUGAACCUACAACCAAUAGAAAAUCGUUAUUUUAUAUUCAGUAUCUUUUAAAAAAGGAAACAAAAUAUUAUCAAUUUAUAUCAUGAAUUUAUAUUUAAAAAAAAAGUAAAAAUAAAUAAAAAUAGUAUUAGGUGCAAAAAUAAAUAAAUUAUUUUUAACGCCGUCAGCAAAACAAUAAACCUUAAACCCUCGUGUAAACUCUAAAUCCUUAGGUAAACCAUAAAACCUUAGAUAAAUCUUAAACCCUAAAUCAAAAACACUAAACAUUAAAUCUUGAAAACACUAAACCCAA